CUAUGGCUUUGGGGCCUGUCUGAGGGGCCGAGCCUGGGCUCCGGGGCGCGCCAUGGGGGUCACGUGACUCGGCCGGGGUGAAGGCGCCCGGAGCGGUUGGGGAGCUCCGGAGAGGCCGCCGCCCGCCCUCCCGCUCGGGGGAGCCCCGGCCGGGCCCUGAGCGGGCCGAUGGCGGCACGACGGGCUUUUCCCCGGCCUCGCGGCCAGGACCUUGUUUGGCUUCUGAGAUAAGAAUCGGCGACCCUCAGCACUUGUCGGGCAAACGUGGCCGGUAAACAGCCGGUUAAACAUUGCCCGCCGCCCGCCGGGCAUAUUUACCGCCUGCGUUUGCUCAGCCGAGCCUCCGCCUUGGAGGCGGCCCAAAGGCCGGCGCCAGGCCGGCCCUCCCCCGCCCCGCCGACGGGCCGCAGUAGGGCAGGGGUGACUGCGGGCCCAGGCCGCCCCCGCCCCGGGGCCCUCCUGACCAGCCCUCUCCGUCUUCCUAGAUCAUGACCGUACGUGCCAGGGUGGAGAUGCUGGCCAAGUUGUAAGUCCCGAGGCUGCCAUGGGCCAGGCCGCUGGCCAUUGCUUGCAUGGUGACAUUCUGGGUCCUUGCGGGCGCUGGCAGGCAGCGGGCACAAGGCGGGCACAGAGGCCGCCCGCGGGCCUCCCUCUCGCCCCCUUCGCCCGCCGCCCUGGCAUCUCCCGCGCCGUGGCGGAGCUGGGACGGUGCUGCCGAACGAGGUCCCAGAGCGGAGGGCAGGCGCGGGCCGAGCGGGGCGGUCGGGGCCGAGGCCAGGCCAGGGCAGGGGGAGCGGGCACGGCCGCGCCAGGCCCGCAGGACCGAUUUCGCAGCACCGGCCCUUCCCUCCGGCCACAGCCCGAGCCCGCAGAAGAGAUCACCACCCUCAGGAACCGGAUCGACCAGGCCCAGAAGCACAGCAAGAAGGCGGGCGCAAAGGGCAAGGUCGGCGGGCGCUGGAAGUGAAGCCGAGGGCCGACGUCCAGAGCGAAGGCCCGUCGUCCCCCCGCCCGUGGCCCCCCUCCUGUCCUGCCCCUCCCGGCCCCCCCCCAAGGGCUCCAGGAGAUUCCUCAGAGCGGGAAAGGGGGCGCCUCGUGGAGCUUCCCAACAGACCCCGCGUCCCCCAACCCCCGUCUCCCAGAGCCCCCUCCAGGCCUGCGGGCCCCCUCGGGGGCUUGUCAAUAAAGCUCACGUGACCCCCUUCUCGGCUGCUCCUUUGUGGGUUGGGCUUUGGCCCUGGGGGCUGCUUGGGGGUGACUCCCGGGGGUGGGCACCGCUGGGCACAGCCCACUCCCCAAAGGGAUCCCCCUCCGCUCCCUUCUCUUCCCGGUCUCGGCUCUCUGCCCCUCGGUGGCCAUGA
rnacentral:lncRNA from 1 species